UACAGAGGGUGCAAGCGUUAUUCGGAAUUAUUGGGCGUAAAGCGCACGUAGGCGGCUUUGCAAGUCGGAUGUGAAAUCCCUCGGCUUAACCGAGGAAGUGCAUCCGAAACUGCAGAGCUUGAGUACUUAAGAGGAUCGCGGAAUUCCCGGUGUAGAGGUGAAAUUCGUAGAUAUCGGGAGGAACACCAGUGGCGAAGGCGGCGAUCUGGGAAGAUACUGACGCUGAGGUGCGAAAGCGUGGGGAGCAAACAGG
rnacentral:rRNA from 1 species